UUACAUAACUAUGAUGUCUUUUUAAAGACAUAUCUAGACAGUCUUUGAAUUCAAACAUAAUAUUAAUUUAAAAUUCAAUGUUUCACCAAUUUUAUUACUUUAUAUUCUUCAUUGAUACAUCAGUCAAUUAUAGAUUUUCAAAUGCUUUAAUUGUGCUUUGGUAUAUAUGUUAUGGGCAUUCAUAAAGUUACAGGAAGAGAGAAUGGAGGAGAAAUAAAAAUCCUUACUCAUUGCUGGUUGAAAUGCAAAAUAAUACAGGCACUUUGAAAGAAAGUUUGUCAAAUUUUUUAGAAAACUAAACAGUUUUACUGUAAUAUCAGCAAUCCUACUCCUAAAUAAAUACCCAAUGGGUUUGAAAGUGUGUAUGCACAUAAAUACAGGCAUGUGGAUAUUUAUAGAAGCUCUGUUUAUAAUCACAAACAACCAGAACCAGCCAAGAUGUUCUUCAAUAGGCAUAUAGAUAAAGGAAAGGCACAUCCAUACAAAGGGAUAGUAUUUAGAAAUAAAAGGGAUUAAGCUAUUAAGUCACAGUAAAAAAUGAUGAAUCUUAAAUGUAUAUAGCUAAAUGAAAAAAAUAAGGCAUAAAAGACUGUAUGUUAUAUGAUUUUAUUUGUGUGAUAUUCUGGAAAAUACAAAAAUACAGAAAUGGCAAAAGAGAGCAGUUGUAAAAGUUUGUUUUAUUUUUGUUGUUGUUAAUUUGUUGUUUAUUUUAUUUUAUUUUAUUUAUUUUGAUGGUAUAGGAGGCUUUGAACAUGUGAGACUCAGGGAAAUUAUAAGCUACUGGAAAUAUUUUAAUAUAUGGUCCCUUUGUCUAAUCCACUGAACUUUAUUCUUCACUGCCUCAUUGUGAUUUAACUUCAACAUAUCAGGGAAAACAUUAAAUCUAUGUUUAUAGAUUUAAUGUUUUCCCCAUAGAUAAGCUAUGGGGGUCAAUCUAGGUACCCUUUAACAGAAUAAUGAAUACAGAAAAUGUGGUGUAUAUACACAAUGGAGUAUUACUUUGCCAUAAAGAACAUUAUAACAUUUGCUGGUAAAAGGAUGGAACUAGAGCUAUCAUGGUAAGUGAAAUAAGACAAUGCCCCCUCAUUAAAUAAAAGGUCAAAAUGGGAGAUUCUAAGGCUUGCCAAAGAAUAUAUGAAUGCAUGGCAUUUUGUUAUACCAGACAUUAAGUACCAGAUAUUAAGGCAGCUCCAAAAUCCAUAGUAAUGUCUAAGGAACUUAGGCACCAAUCAAAAGGACUCUCAACAAAUCAAAUAAUGUAGUGGUAGAUAAAAUAAGUAUAAAAAUAAAAAUAUAAAAUAAAUAACCAUAAAUCUAUACUGAUUAGAUAAAUUACAGGAUAAAUAUAGAAGUGAUAGAAAAAUAGACCUAGUUCCAAAGAUAAAGAAUCCCAAAUAAUUUAUGUAAAUAAUCCCUUCUCAAGGAGGUACACUCAUAUACAUGAAAGAAUUUCCCCAUUGUUGAGGGGUGAAAUGUUCACUUUUGAAUCACUUACAAAUAUUACUAUUUUGUUCAGUUGUGGUAAUUUCCCUUACUCCCAGGUUUUAAAAACAAAUCUACAAAAAUAAUGCAAUUUAGUAUACAAUCUGGUUCCACUUAUGCCUGUAAUUGAAUCCAGUGAACCACCAACUAUACCACCUUGACAUUGGCUGUGUCAAGCAGCUGAUAAAACAGUAGAGCACUGCUGUUUAAAAGGUAUGAACUGCACUUCUUUCAAAGAGUGUCAUAUGACCAGGGAUAAAAUUAUAAAUGUGUACCUUUACAGGUGAUAAACAGCAGGACCUCAACCAGAUGGUCGAGUUUAGCAGCACAAUCUUAAGUCACACAGGUAUUGGGUACUCCUGAGAAUUUGAUGAGAAGGACAGUUUUGCCUCUAAUCUUCCUCCAGGAAACAGGUGGUAGAAACAGGUGCCAAACAGAUAGAAUCAGACCUCCCAAGUGAAGAAUGUUUUAUAAAAUGCCUAACCAGCACUCCCCAAAAUGCUCAAGUUCAUGAAAACCAAAGAAGUGGUCACAUCCAAGAGAAUCCUAAAUGACUAAAUUCAGUGUGAUAGCUUGCACAAACAGCUGAACAGAAAGUGAAGAACAAAGUAGAGCCUGACAGAAAGGGGAUCUUUAGUUAAUGAUAAAGUGUAACUAUCUGAUCAUUAAUGGUGACAGUUAUGCUGUAUUAAUGUAUGAUACUUAGAAAAAAAAGGAAAGCUGUACAGUGUCCAUGGGAACUCUCUGUGCCACCUUGGUUAGAUGUACUACAUUAAUAGAUUUAUUUGGACUUUCUUUAGAUUUCAGAAGUUCAUUUUAAUUUUUUCAGAGCAUAUACUCAUGCACAAACAAUAUCUAAGUAUCUAUUGAUCUAUCUAGAGAGAUUAUUUUAUGGCAUGCAGAUUUCACAAUGUUAAUGAAAAUAUAAUGCAAAUUGUUUCCUUCAGUUUAUCUUCAGUUUAUGCAGAAGAUAUUAUAGCUAGGUGAGAAAAUAAAGAUUAAUUAUCUUAUGGUAUUAUGAUUUAAAUUAUAAAAUCAAGAGAAAAUAUUGUCUCAUCAAUAUAGAUAUAUAUCUAUGAUGUAGUACUAUUAUUAUGCAUAUUUGAUUGAAUGGAUAAAACUUUUUCCACUACUCAAAUGGAAAUUUUAGUUUGAAGCCUGAAUGAAAAAAAUUUUCCUGAAAUCAUAAGUUUUUAACACACUAGAGAUAAUAAACAUGUUUUGGAUGUGCAAUUUCUCUUGACAGCAAAUUGGAAUACUUAAGAUUUUGUGCAAGCUAAUUGCACCCUCAUUUAGUUUAAUGAACAUUUUCAGUGGCAAUAUUAUGAUUCCUGUUUCUGUGGGAAGUAGCAGCUUGAUACUUAGGAAGUGUUAAGUUGUUCUGUGCAAGACGUGGCUACUUUGGGAAUUUCUGAAAAGUAAUUAGCAUAGUCUUUCAUGGCCUGUUAUUUCUUACAGAAAUCUAUUCUUUUAUUGAGAACACAAAACUAAUGCUAGGAAUAAUUAAGGAAGUUCUCCAUAUCGUCAUCUCUGUUCUAGAGAAAAUUGUUCUUGAAUGUAUCAGCCUUGAUUAUUUUUCUUUACUACAAUGAUUCCCUUUGGAAAUGAUCUUCAACUAGCUGUGAGACCACUUCAAGGGAAGAAUAAAGGCAGAACUUCUUUUCUAAAACUGUUUAAAUAUUUUUUGUCACUUUGUUUUUAGAUGUCUAUUUGUAAGCACAUCUGAUACCAUAUAAGUGAAUUAUUAUUAAUAGGAUAUUCAAAUAUUUGUUUUACUCUCUCAGUUUGGACCCAAUUGAGUGAAAGAUGCAUUCAUUAAAAUGUCAUCAGGUAUAUUAUUACAAGGAUAUUGGUUACCAUGGCUUAUACUUAUUCCUAAAAUAGUCUGGUCUGAAAUAGGAUAACAAGCCCCAAAUUACCUGACACAUCUGAUAUCUAUACAUCUUUCACCUGGGAGCCACUGGCCCUGUAAGGAACCAAUGUGUAGCCCCUUCUUCUCCACAUCGUGCAAAUCAUGAACUAUGCAUUCUCCUUCUAUCACUGAGUUCAAUGAAUCAUGGAUCUAUAACCAUCCUUGUUCCACUAAAUAAUAAAUAUAUCUGCUCUCCUCAUCUGUAAAUUCCCUAUCAGUGGAUUCAACCAAUUAUGGACAGAAAACAUUUGAGAAAUUAUUAGCAAUCAUACUCAAUAUAUGUGGACUAGUUUCUUGUCAUUUUUCCCCAAACUAUAUUGACUGUUUGAAAUAAGAUUUCACUUUGCAUUAGGCAUUUUAAGCAAUAUAGAGAUGAUUCAUAGUGUAAUGUGAAUAGCUUAUAUUCAAAUACUAUAGCACUUUAAGUAAGGGUACUUGAGCAUCUGCAGAUUUGAUGUACAAGGGGUAUCCUUGCAUCAAUGGCCCAACCAAUACUGAGGGAUAAAUGAAUAUGUAUCCUUUUCAAAUGUAUAUUCAAACAUACACCAGCAAUAAAACCAUAAAAUAAACUAAAUGCUUUUUAUUUUUAAAAAUGAUGGACAGCAGUUAUUAAAUGGUAGAGGAGUUACAGUGGAAACAUUGUCAUCAUAUAGAAAGCUCGAUGACAUUAAACUCUUUAUGUGGGGCUCUGAGUGUUAGAUAAAUCAAAAGCACAUUGAUUAGAAAUUUGGAAAUACAUAUAAUUUUGAUUGAUAAAGGCCACAUAUGAUGAAUUUGAUACACUGAACAUUCUUAUGUACUCAUGCCAAGAGAAUUUGCUCCAGUAGUUUUAGGAAAAGAUGUCUCUUCCAUACAUAAACAGCAAAAUCUGCACAGACCUUGUCACUUGUAAAGAUUAUUUACUUAUAUUUUUAUAUUAAAAGUAAAGAGAUUUUUAGGGCAAUAAAAUAUUUCUUUGCUUCCUUUAAUUACCCACACUCAGUGACUCUUGAAAAGUAUGUUCUUUAUCUCACUACUUAUAAAUUGAAAAUUCCUCAUAUCAGCAUAAUUUAUGGUUUUAUCAAGUCUAGUAAGGAAUUAACAGAUAGUUUGCUCAUUGCCCUUUCUAAUUUUUAUUUUAAUUGUAUCUAAUAUUCCCCAGAUCAAUUUGCAUCAUAGAUAAAAAUAAAAGGAAAAAUUUGUAGUGGAAAGAGAUCUUUUGUUUGGAUUUUACAUAGAAUUUUAAAAUCAUGGAAUAGGUAUAAAAUUCAUAUUUGACUUCCUGGGGUCAAGUGAAUGAGUACAGAAAAAAAUACAAAAAUUAAUUACCAGGAAACUAUGAUGUCUAGAUGUCCUAUUGAAAAAACACAAUAUCAAUAAGUAAGUAAGUAAGUAAAUAAAUAAAUAAAUAAGAUAUGUAUAUCUUUGUUUAUUUCAAGCCAUUAUUGCAAACCAUCAAGAAAGAAGAAGUUUGGUGAGAUUUACAUCUUUUUGAAUUACUAUAGUACAUUCUAUGACAUAAAAUUCACCAUUUUAUUUUGUGACAAAAGUUCUUGUUCCUAAAAGCAGAAAGCUAUCAAAAAAUUCUCUUGCAGAGUACAAAAGAUUCACUUACAAAUCAAAGUGAAUAUGAAAGAAUGCAAAUCACACCUCAAAGCAUUACAAAAUUAAUACUUUCUACAUAAAAUAAUCUUAAUGUGAUUGAUAAGUACAUUUUUGCUUAAGCUCCUUCACAGCUUGAAAUGGAAUACAAAUUAUUUUAAAAAACCCAAAGACAUCUUUUUCCUAAGGCCUUAAAUUUCUUCCAAUUCUUUCAAUGAAUCGUGGUAGAAUUAGCAGUUAUAACAUCAUUCAUGUUAAAUGGUAAAUUUUUUGAUGUUACUUAGUGUAGAUAACUUUUGCUGUUUCUAAUUAUAUGAUAUUUGAAAGUAUUAAAGUAUAAACUUUAUUUGUAAACUCAGCUACAACUUAUCCAUAUAAUCUGAAAAAUAAUGGUUCCAUGACAAUAGGGACAUAAUAAAAGCUAAUAUUUGUCUAGCAAUGUUAAUAAUAUUCACCUUAUUGUACUAUAUUAUUUUUUACAAAUUGGUAUUUAGUCACUAAAGUUUGUAAGAAAAGUAUUUCUCUAAUAUCCCUAUGGUUUUCAGGGGCUUUGCUUAUCAACUGUAUAAGAGAUUUUGACAUGGCAUAAAGUCAUAUCCAAAGUUUUCUAAUACACAAAUAUUCCAGUCUCCCAAUCAUGACUUAUACUCUUCACACUUAAGUUUGACUAACACCAUCAUGUUAUAUAUAUUCCUUUGUGGUUAGUUACUUUUGCUGAAAAAAGUAUUUUAUUGCUACUGUAAACAAUAUUUUUAAAAAUUCUAUUUUUGAUUAUUGCUGCUAUAUAAAAAUAUAAAUGAAUUUUGUAUCACGAUCUCAUAUUCUGCAAUUUUGGUGUUGUCAAAUAUUGGCACUAUAAGAAUUUUCAUUUUACAUCUCCAUUUGUUUGUUUUUUAGACAUUCCAUGAAUCUCUACAUAGAUGAUUAUAUUUUUUGCAAAUAAUUAUUUUUUGGAGGUAAUGUUACAUUUUGAUCUAUUUUUUGACAAGUUUUUCUUUCUAAACUGUCAGAACAAUGUUAAAUAGAUAUUGCCUUAUUCCUGAGCUGAGAUGGAAAAUGCUUAGUCUUUUCACUAUUCAGUGUGCUGUAUGAUAUCCUUUGUCAGGCUGAGGAAGUUGCUUCUAUUCCUACUUCGUGAGUAACUUUAUUAGAAAAGCAUGAGGAGCUAUUAAAAAUUAAUUAAAAAAUUACUGGAGACAUGUGCUGGGAUUAAGGUCAUCAUGAAUUAUAAUAACAAUGGAAAAAUUUAGGACAUGAAAUUGAAACCAGUAUAUAUGUAGUCUGAUACCAUAUACUUAAAAUAUCUAAAAUCAUUAGACAUUUACAAUUCAUACUCAAAUUGAGAUUAGACAUAGUAAGUAUAGAUCAUCUUCUCUCUACCUGAAAUAUGCAAAAAGAUUAAUUCAAUUUAGUAAAUAUUUGUAACUAUGCGAACAAAAAUUAUUUUCUUUCUUUGAAAUGAGAUGAUUCUGAUAAUUGUUCUGUGAGAAUAAUUCUAAUUUCUUAAAGUGUAUUGAAAAUUGAUGGAAUCUUUGUGCUCUUUCUUAAUAUUCUCAGAACACACAACCUUCUUUGCAAAGAAAUUGGCUGUGAUCACACACAGUUCAUUCAGCUUCAUACUAUUCAUAAUCUAUUUGUAAGUUUAGGGGAAUAUGGGAUAUCCUCCUGAUGCAAGCAAAAGUUCUCUUUCCGAGAUUAAGAUUUUUGUCUUGCUAUGCUGUAUGCCAUAUACUUAACAGUAUUCUAUAGUACAUUCAUUUUUUCCAACUUUCUUAAGGUAUAUUUAACAAUUUAAAAAUGUGUGUAUUUAAAUACUUAUAAAUAUAAUAAAUAUAAUAUAAAUAUAAAUAUAAUGAAUAUAUUAAUUUGCUUGAUUGUAAUCACUACAAUCAAGCAAAUUAAUAUAUUCAUUACUUCACAUAGUUACCAUUUUCUUUUUUUGUUUUGAGUGUGGUUACAACACUCAAACUCUACCCCCUUUGCAAAGUGUACUACAGUAUUGUUAAGUAGUCAUAUUAUCACACAUCUCCAGAACUCAUUCAUUCUGUGUAACUGAAACUUUGUGCCCCUUGAUCAACAUCUCCCAAUUUUCCCCACACUCAGCCACUGGUAAAAAGCAUUCUGUUUUUAGUUUCCUCCUUGACAUCACAAUCCCCAUAUAGUCAAAUCCUUUAAGGCAUAAUAUUUGCAUGCAACCCAUAAACAUCCUGUUAUAUGCUUUAACUCAUCUCUAGACUACUUAUAAUAAUUAGGACAAUGCUUAGUAAAUGCUGUGAGAAUAGUUGUUGAACUGUACCAUUUAGGGAAUAAUGGCUACACAUGUUCUGUACAGAAAUAACUUAUUUUUCUGAAUAUCUUCUAGUUAUACUUGAUUUAUUGCAGAUAUGGAGGGUAGACUGCAUACAUGUGAUACAUUAUAUAACAAUAAUUUCUUAGGUAGUAUUCUCUGUGAAUCCUUAAAUAUCUCUGGGUGAGAAAAAUGCUUUAUUUUGCUGUUGUAUUAGUUGAUUUUUGAAUUUUCAAUCAAAAUCAUUGUUUUUUACCAGACUUCUGUGUUCUUGUAGCUACUCUAGUCAUGAGAGUCUCUAGUGUCAGUUUUUCUGUUUCUUUUUGCAAGCUUUUGUGCGCUUUAUUUCCCUUUCUUUUUGAAAUUCAGGGAUUGCAUUGAACUCUUUUUCCUUCAGCUUGCUGAGCUCUGUAUGGACCGUUUCAGGCCAUCAUAGACACUGUUCCAAGACAAUCCGACUAUUGCAUCUGCUGAUGGACACAGCAAGGCAGAGGACAAAGCUAAGCAUACUUUGCAGCUCCUAUUGAAGGUUUCUGAAGAAGGCACUGGGCUCCUCCUGCUCCCCCUUUCCUGCCUGCUCUGCUUGGGAAAGUUCUUCAAAACCUAAUCCCUUUUGCUGUCGGAUUUCUACAAAUAUCCUCGACUGUUAUUUUCUUGCUCCAAGAAAUACUAUAUGUUUUCUGCAUUUAAAGAUCUUUGUGAAUUUCCCCGUCUCCCUCUCUCUAAGAUCCUGCUUUUGUUUCUUCCUCUCUGCAUUGUUAAUUUGGGACAUCUGUCAGAAACAGGGUUGUCAUUUAACAUCUCUAUUUUGUUGUCCUCAUUUCUUCAAUCCUUCUACUUCCAAAAUAUGGGUUUUCAUGCACUUCAUAUGAUUUAUUAUAUUUGCUUAUUUUUUUCUUUAGGAGCAAACAACUGCAGUUGGCUGUGUCAAUUGUGAAACUCAUUUUUGAAACUUUGAUGGCUAAAAAUGGUAAUGAGCUUCUCUUCUUAUUGGUGUAUUAAAAAUAAACACCUUUGGAAAAAUUACACAAUUUUUCUAAAUGUAUUCAUAAAUGUAUAGCAUAUUUCCUUACAAACCAUAGAUAUAAUAUGUUAUAAAUAAUGCCAAAGCAUUAUUUACUGGCCUUCUGCAACAGAAAUUAUCAUUUGGUUCCGUGAUGGUGGGUUCAUUUUGAGUCUCACUGAUUCCAGGAGCAAAUGAACUUUUGUGAUAGAUAGCCUCAAGCUGCUGUGCAGUUAAGAGCUUGUAUUUCAUUAAUUGAAUUCUUCUGGGCAUGAUGUUACUCUAUAUACUCCCUCCAAGACAUCAAGCCUUUAAUUAGUUACUUACCCACAAACACAUAUUUAACAUUAUAAACUGGGAUCCCUUUUUGCCAACACCAGAUAGAGUUGUUUCAACUGUGAACUCUCACUAGUAGAAGAUUUUCCACACUAAUUCUUCUGAGCCAGAAUCAAACAGCUGGAAAACAUGUGCAGUGUCUUUUACUCUGAAAUGUGAGUAGGUCUAGCAUAAAACUCAUGCCAUUAUCUUCACAAGCAUGAUCAGAGUUUACCUUUAAUAGGAUUGCUCUAAUUUAUUUUCUCGUUUGCUUCUCACAGCAUGCCAGUAUCCAUGAGAUGCUGAGUUCAGUAUGAAUUUAAAAAUGAAAUAAAAGCUCCCUUUACUAUCUUAGAGAAGAGGAGACGUUCUCUAAAUGUCAAACAUCAUCUCUAAAUUGACUGUAAUCCGGAAAUAUGUCUUUUUCUUUCCUUUCUUCUUUCUGUCCUCAUCACAUUAUUUCAAGACUGUUUACUAUGGAAGCAAACUUGCUUUGCUGAAUACAUGAAGUAAAAUGUGAAAACAUCAAUGAAAUGAUUUAAUUAUGGAAAAAUAUAUAUACACAACUCUUGUUAACACACUAUAUGCCAAAUUCCCAGACUAUGGUCACUUGCAUAGAGUGUUAGGAAGGUGUAUUUUAAAUUAUACCAUAGAACCUAACACAUGGGGAGGAUAGAAACAAGAACUUUAGGAUAGCACUUUACAAAGUGGAGGAAGAGGGCAAAAUUCAUUAAUGCUUAAUAAUGUCCAAGGAUAUGGGGUAGCCUGUGGAGUGACAGCUGUAGAGAAAUGGAAAUUACAAUAGAAAUGGCAAACCCCUAGUUUCCCCCUUUUAUUGUGGCACAGCCUAUCAAUAUCCAACUUUACUUUCAUUGCCACUGUCAGAAUCACAUGAUAUUAUUGCUUUCUGCUAGAUGUCAAUCUAGAAAUAUAAGGAUAAACUACAUUUCAAUUAAUUAAUAUGGCACAUAUCAAAUGAGCACAAGCAUCAUGAAACAACAUUUGCUAGUCGUUUCUACCUAUAUACAGUUCAUGGUUUUUUAAUGAAUUUAAUAUACAUUUGAUGCAUAAGCCUUCAUAAAGGGUUGACAUUUACCAUACUUAAAGUUCAGGAUAAUAUUCCCACUGGUAUUAAGUAGGGCUGACUGGGUAGAUAAUGGUCUGAGUGUGAGCACAUUGUGUUGUCAUUCUUCCAAUUAUUAUUUGAACACAUAACUUUUUGCAUGAUCACAAAAUCCUUUACAGGUAUUUUUACUUACCUUCCAUAUGUACUAAAUUAAUUUUAAUUUCCUAAUUUAUAUGUCCAUUACUUGUGGACUUCUUUCUAUUCUUCUUAAAUCAUAGCAGAAAUUCUAGUUUGAGUCAUUUUUUAAAAGUAGCGCAGAAAAGUAACAUCACAUUUUUCAGUUGAGGAAUUCAACAAUUAAUACUUGCAAGUCUUUUAAGCAAAACAUUCAUAAGGUUAUUUAUUUUUUAAACAUAGCAAAUACAUUUUUAAUUCUUUGAUGAGAUAAUUUAAUUUUUGCAACUCCAUCCCCUCAAGAAUUUAAGCUUCCAAACUGAUUGUUCUGGUUCUGUUUAAUUUAAUGAAAGACCCUUUAUCCAACUGUCAAGGGAUCCCUGAAGAGUUCGUUUCACUUCAUAUUUCCCUAACAAAGCUCUUAAGUACUCAAACAGGAACAUAUAAACUGAUUCCAGCAGUUAUAAGUCCCUAUUUCCAUUUAACUUACUGAUAACUUCUGAGGAGGUUGAGUGAGCUAAUGGAAAGUUAAAUAGUCCGAAAUAAGCAAACAUGGGAGCUAAAUGAUCAGGUUAUUCUUUGGCUCCCCUACUCUGGGCUUCCUACAGGAACAAAAUGCAUUACCAGAAUGUUCAGUGGGGGUUAAGUUGUGUUUCUAGAUUUUCAAACUGGAAAAAUACUACCCACCAAACUAAACUAAUUCCUUUGAAACUACUGCAAAAAAUAUAUACAUAUUAAAAUAUUAAGAUAUUUAUUCUAAGUAAUAAAUGUCAUACAAUAUACAAUACUAUAUUAUACAUAGUAUGUCAUCUAUAACAUGAGAUCUUAAUUGUAAAUGGGCUUGCCUCGUAGUGACAGCUCUUUUGAAAAUCUGCAGUGAGUCAACACAAAUUUUAGGAAAUGUUUAAAAGGAGUAAAAAGAGAGUGUAAAGUCAUUUUAAUACCUUUCUCUCUUUUAUUUAUUGAAUAAAAGUGCUAGUGAUUAAGGGAUUUCAGAGUGUAUUCAGAGAACUGGGCAAAAAGUACAAGAAAGAUUUUCCUUAUGAUAAACUAUUGGUGAUAUUUAAAAUGUUUUAUUUUAUCAGUCAAGUUUCGCAUUCUUUCAGAAGGGCUGUUUUGGAAGGGAAACAUGCAACAGGAUCGAUCGUCCAAAGCCUUUGUUGUUGUUGUUGUUGUUUAAUAUAAACAAAAUGAAACAACAUAAGGAAGACUUAUCUGAAUGGCCACCAAUCAAUCAUGUUAGAACAUCUGGAAAUAAGAAGCAUGAAGGCUGAUCAUUAAGUCUGAAACCCAGGCAAUAUUAUUUAUCUGUACUGUAAUGUGCAUAAGUGUGCAUUGUGUGCUGAUAAGACUGCUGAUUAUGAUUAUGAAUAUUCAUUUGUUUCAAUAUUUUUGUUACCUGUAAUGUCAAAAUCAGAUGAUGGAUAUAUUUUUUAUCUGUAAAAUUAAAUAACAAUUUUUUAUUAUUAGUUUUACUACUUGACUCCUUAUAUUUCACGAUCAUUUGAGAAUUAUUGGGAAAAAAGUAGAAGAGAAAGAGCCAGAAAUUUUAAUAUUUACUGGGCAGUACUACUUUAAUAAUUCAUAAUAAGAGUUCUAUAUCUGGUGACAAAAGGAAGACAGACUGUAGUGGAGUUAAGUAAAUAGAAUCUACAAAUGGGAUUCCCUUUGGCACACAUGUGGUGAAUAUACCAAAUCAGUUUUAUAAAUUUAACUCUGAGAUGUUGUUAACAUUUAACAUCCAUUCAUAUAUGUGUGAAAUAUAUUGGAAUAAUUAGGUAAAAGAGGCAAUAUUUAUUGAGAAGAUAUCUAAUAUGUAAAAUAUAUAAUCGUAUAUAAUAUUUGUAUGUAUAUGUGUACAUAUAUGUAUGUAUAUGUGUAUAUAUAAUAUAUAUGUGUAUGUAUACAUAAAUAUAUAUAAUUAUAUAUAUAUGACUUUACCUAGUUAGUAUAUUGUGUUAGUAUGUUGUGACAUAGUUGUUAGUAUGUUGUGACAACUCAGUCCAUGAAUCAUUCAUUCUGAAUCAUCUAAUCAUCUUUAAUUCUGUAAGAUGCCCUAUAUUGGUUUUAAUUUUUGCAAGCGAUACAUUGUUAGUAAGUAGAGUUUUCAAAAUUUCUAGCAUAAUUAAGUCUGUGCCUGAGAAAAAUGAGAAGUAUCUAUCACAUUUAUAAUACUAGCAAAAAUGACAUUUUCUCAGAUAUUUUUUUUGUAAAUAUAUUAUAGUUCCAGGUUUUAUGAAGCUCAAAUCUUCUACAAUUUGUGAUGGCAAUAAACUAUGCAAAAUAUUCUAAAUAUCACAUACUUUGAAAAAUUGUGCUAGAGAGAUGUAAUAUGAACACAUUACAAGCCUUACUAGAGUCUUGGAAAAUUCCCAUUUCGAAUUUAUUUUACACAGUUUAUAUUUUAACAACAUAUGCUCAAUAAUUCAUAUUCUGAUUAUUCCCCAAUUGUUUAUAAGUUUAGAUAUUUAUUCUCUUUAAUAAAAGAUUAGAAAAAAUUUUUCAUGGAUUUUAUUUCAAAAGAAUAUAUUAAAGUAGACAAUGAUUAACAGUGUAAAAUAUUUCAAAAGUGUAGAAGAAAGUGUUUCUUUGAAAAGCCUAAAAGGCAUCCAUUUUUACCUAAGAUUAUGAAUGAUGUUUUUAUAUUUUUGUUUUAUUUUUUUUUCUUUACUCUCCCACAUUUUCAGGAACUUAAUGGUACUUUUUAACACUAAAUGUGGUUUAGCAAAUAGCCUCUUUUUAUUCAAAGAUUGAAUUACAACUCUGCAAUUAGAGUUAGCAUAGAUUGUCUUACUCCAGGUAAGUUGUUUGACAAAAAAAAUUUUAAAAAUCCUCAAAUCACAUAAAAUUGACAUAUUAUAGUGACACCACCACAUCAAUGUUUAUAGCAGCUCAAUUUACAAUAUCCAAGCUUUUUAAGCAAUUGGGGUACUUUACAACGAGAUGAAUGGAUAAAGAAAAUGUGGAAUAUAUAUACAAUGGAAUAUUACUCAGCUAUAAAGAAGAAUGAAACUUUGACAUUUGCUGAUAAAUGGAUGGAACUGGAGAAUAUUAUCCUGAGUGAAAUAAGCCUGUCCCCAAAGGCUGAAUGUUCUCUCUGAUAUGUGGAUGCCAAUCUCCAAAAAAAAAGGGUAGGGAGAAUAGAAGUUAAUUAGAUUGGACAGAAAGGAAUGAAGGGAAGGGGA